AGAGUUUGAUCCUGGCUCAGGACGAACGCUGGCGGCACGCUUAACACAUGCAAGUCGAACGAGAGAAGAGGAGCUUGCUUUUCUGAUCCAGUGGCGGACGGGUGAGUAACACGUGAGCAAUCUGCCUUUCAGAGGGGGAUACCGAUUGGAAACGAUCGUUAAUACCGCAUAACAUAAUUGAACCGCAUGAUUUGAUUAUCAAAGAUUUAUCGCCGAAAGAUGAGCUCGCGUCUGAUUAGCUAGUUGGUAAGGUAACGGCUUACCAAGGCGACGAUCAGUAGCCGGACUGAGAGGUUGAUCGGCCACAUUGGGACUGAGACACGGCCCAGACUCCUACGGGAGGCAGCAGUGGGGAAUAUUGCACAAUGGAGGAAACUCUGAUGCAGCGAUGCCGCGUGAGGGAAGAAGGUUUUAGGAUUGUAAACCUCUGUCUUCAGGGACGAAAAAAGACGGUACCUGAGGAGGAAGCUCCGGCUAACUACGUGCCAGCAGCCGCGGUAAUACGUAGGGAGCGAGCGUUGUCCGGAAUUACUGGGUGUAAAGGGAGCGUAGGCGGGAUCGCAAGUCAGAUGUGAAAACUAUGGGCUUAACCCAUAAACUGCAUUUGAAACUGUGGUUCUUGAGUGAAGUAGAGGUAAGCGGAAUUCCUAGUGUAGCGGUGAAAUGCGUAGAUAUUAGGAGGAACAUCAGUGGCGAAGGCGGCUUACUGGGCUUUAACUGACGCUGAGGCUCGAAAGCAUGGGGAGUAAACAGGAUUAGAUACCCUGGUAGUCCACGCCGUAAACGAUGAUUACUAGGUGUGGGGGGACUGACCCCUUCCGUGCCGCAGCAAACGCAAUAAGUAAUCCACCUGGGGAGUACGACCGCAAGGUUGAAACUCAAAGGAAUUGACGGGGGCCCGCACAAGCAGUGGAGUAUGUGGAUUAAUUCGAAGCAACGCGAAGAACCUUACCAGGUCUUGACAUCGUAUGCAUAGCUCAGAGAUGAGUGAAAUCUCUUCGGAGACAUAUAGACAGGUGGUGCAUGGUUGUCGUCAGCUCGUGUCGUGAGAUGUUGGGUUAAGUCCCGCAACGAGCGCAACCCUUACUGUUAGUUGCUACGCAAGAGCACUCUAGCAGGACUGCCGUUGACAAAACGGAGGAAGGUGGGGAUGACGUCAAAUCAUCAUGCCCCUUAUGACCUGGGCCUCACACGUACUACAAUGGCUGUCAACAGAGGGAAGCAAAGCCGCGAGGUGGAGCGAACCCCUAAAAGCAGUCUUAGUUCGGAUUGUAGGCUGCAACCCGCCUACAUGAAGUCGGAAUUGCUAGUAAUCGCAGAUCAGCAUGCUGCGGUGAAUACGUUCCCGGGCCUUGUACACACCGCCCGUCACGCCAUGGGAGUCGGUAACACCCGAAGCCUGUAGUCUAACCGCAAGGAGGACGCAGUCGAAGGUGGGAUUGAUGACUGGGGUGAAGUCGUAACAAGGUA
rnacentral:rRNA from 1 species